GCUGAAGUGUGGAAGAGUGUGCAUGUAUUUGUCCUGGACAGGUCUGAAACCUUUGUCUUGAUGUAACUGAGCUCAGUUUUUUUUCCAGAAAUGAGGAUUGUGUUCUAUAUCUGGUGGCUUGUUUUCACAGAACUUACCUGUACCUGCUGCAAGGCUGCUGAAGGGACAGUGAUCAAGAUUGCAGCCUGAGCGCUUCUGAAGUCUGGAGGAAGACAUGAAGUUAGAGGCUGAGGAGGAAGGUUGGAGAGGUGAAGCUGAUGUUCCCUCUACCAUGAGGCAUGAAUACCUCAUGAAUACCUGCCAUGAAUUACCUGGGAGGCAACAGCCUCUAUCUCAUGAGCUGGAGUUCUGCCUCAAAUGUGACGUCAUGUUUCAACCCGACAUCUCUACAGUGCCCUUCAGUUCAAAAUAAUGUUGACAUAUAACCCAGCUGUCUUGACUUCUGAGAUACUGAAGAUGCUUGGUUCAGUUCUCUGGUCAUCCUGCAAGAAGUACAAAGUAUGACUAAAGGAACUGGUCUGGUACAGUGAAGGGGCAACACCAGCCCUGCAUGACCACUCAGUCCUGGGUUUGUCCAGCAUUGCCUACAUCUAAGGCGGAUGGUGUUUCUUACAUGUUUGUGGUGCCUGCUUGCUCAUAAAGAAGAAAAUGCUAAACUGAUGCUGUGCUGUUUGG